AACGAACGCUGGCGGCAUGCCUAACACAUGCAAGUCGAACGAGACCUUCGGGUCUAGUGGCGCACGGGUGCGUAACGCGUGGGAACCUGCCCUUAGGUUCGGAAUAACUCCCCGAAAGGGGUGCUAAUACCGGAUAAUGUCUUCGGACCAAAGAUUUAUCGCCUUUGGAUGGGCCCGCGUUGGAUUAGCUAGUUGGUAGGGUAAAAGCCUACCAAGGCGACGAUCCAUAGCUGGUCUGAGAGGAUGAUCAGCCACACUGGGACUGAGACACGGCCCAGACUCCUACGGGAGGCAGCAGUGGGGAAUAUUGGACAAUGGGCGAAAGCCUGAUCCAGCAAUGCCGCGUGAGUGAUGAAGGCCUUAGGGUUGUAAAGCUCUUUUACCCGGGAUGAUAAUGACAGUACCGGGAGAAUAAGCUCCGGCUAACUCCGC
rnacentral:rRNA from 1 species